CCAAGGUGAAUGUUGCAGCACACCAUCUUUUACACCAAGGUGAAUGUUGCAGCACACCAUCUUUUACACCAAGGUGAAUGUUGCAGCACACCACCUUUUACACCAAGGUGAAUGCAGCAUGGCAUUUUUACACACCAAAGCAACUACAUUAUAUGAUGCAAUUGUUA